rnacentral:rRNA from 1 species
GACGAACGCUGGCGGCGUGCCUAAUACAUGCAAGUCGAACGCACAGUUUAUACCGUAGCUUGCUACACCAUAGACUGUGAGUUGCGAACGGGGGAGUAACGCUUAGGUAACCUGCCUGGUAGCGGGGGAUAACUAUGGGUAACGAUAGCUAGUACCUCAUACUAUUGAUUAUUGCAUGGUAAUUAAUUGAAAGUUGCAAUUGACCCGCUACCUAUUGGCCCUGCGUUGUAUUAGUUAGUAGGUGAGGUAAUGGCGCAUCUAGGCGAGGAUACGUAGCCGACAGGCGAGGAUGAUCAGCCACACUGGGAGUGUGACACGGCCCAGAGGCCUUCGGGAGGCAGCAGUAGGGAAACUUGGGGAAUGGGCGAAAGUUUGACCGAGAAACGCGGCGUGAGUGAAGAAGGUUUUCGGGUGGUAAAGGUCUGUUGUAAGGGAAGAAAGGGUGUGAGAGUGGAAAGAUCACAGUGUGACGGUAUCUUAUCAGGAAGGGACGGCUAACUACGUG